UACAGAGACUGCAAGCGUUAUUCGGAUUCACUGGGCGUAAAGGGUGCGCAGGCGGUCGGGUGUGUCAGAUGUGAAAUCCCGAGGCUCAACCUCGGAACUGCGUCUGAAACUACUCGACUAGAGUACUGGAGAGGGUAACGGAAUUCACGGUGUAGCAGUGAAAUGCGUAGAUAUCGUGAGGAAUACCGAUGGCGAAGGCAGGUCUCUGGGCUGACACUGACGCUCAUGCACGAAAGCGUGGGGAGCAAACAGG
rnacentral:rRNA from 1 species